rnacentral:rRNA from 1 species
GAUGAACGCUGGCGGCGUGCCUAACACAUGCAAGUCGAGCGAUUUACUUCGGUAAAGAGCGGCGGACGGGUGAGUAACGCGUGGGUAACCUGCCCUGUACACACGGAUAACAUACCGAAAGGUAUGCUAAUACGAGAUAAUAUGCUUUUAUCGCAUGGUAGAAGUAUCAAAGCUCCGGCGGUACAGGAUGGACCCGCGUCUGAUUAGCUAGUUGGUAAGGUAACGGCUUACCAAGGCGACGAUCAGUAGCCGACCUGCGAGGGUGAUCGGCCACAUUGGAACUGAGACACGGUCCAAACUCCUACGGGAGGCAGCAGUGGGGAAUAUUGCACAAUGGGCGAAAGCCUGAUGCAGAAACGCCGCGUGAGCGAUGAAGGCCUUCGGGUCGUAAAGCUCUGUCCUCAAGGAAGAUAAUGACGGUACUUGAGGAGGAAGCCCCGGCUAACUACGUGCCAGCCGCCGCGGUAA